AGCAAUAGACACUGGAGUUGUACUCGGUAGAAACUCGAUACCAAACUCGACGUCCCUAUCCGAAGGCAAACCAAAAACUCCUCGAGAAAGACAUUCAAAAAUUCCUUAACGGUCUGAAUAUCCCCAAAAGGUGAACCCACUGAAGCCGAAUCAUGUACAAAAGCCAGAAAAGCUUCACACCCUUUCCAAACUAACUUUUCGGCCAUAAGAGCGGAGAUCACAUUGGAAAAGUAAUCUUGUCGCUCGCUGAUCAUAACAACCUCCAAAUAAUCCUCUGCCCUCAGAGUUACCGUCUUAGUUUCACAGUCUAAGCUGACUCAAUGCUCCACAAGCUAGUCC
rnacentral:lncRNA from 1 species